AUGACAACAAACCAGCGUGAACCAUGUCUUCGCAAAUCCUGAAAAAAAGCCUUCAAAUCGUCGAGGAUAAGCCUUCGAAGGAUGCCAAGAAGAAAAAAUCAAAUAAAAAAGCGAAACAGCGAACAAAAAAUGACGGAAAAUCCGUUGAAGAAAAUUUAAAGAAACUUUUGGCGAUGAGCAGUGACGUUUCGAGUUCAAAAAAGAAACCAGAUUUUGAAAAAAUGUUCCAUAACGCUCGUCAAGGUACGAGAGCAAAAAAGCAAGUUUUGGAGGAAAAAGCUGCUCAAGAAGCCGCGGAAGGAAAUUCCGUGUUCAGUAAAGAAGAUUUUCUGAGAUUUGAACGUGAAUUAUUUUGUGACAAAUAACAUUUAUUAUUUUUUAAGUAAAUUUA